rnacentral:rRNA from 1 species
UACGUAGGGUGCAAGCGUUGUCCGGAAUGACUGGGCGUAAAGGGCGCGUAGGCGGAUGGCACAGUCAGAUGUGAAAUUCCCGGGCUUAACCUGGGGGCUGCAUUUGAUACGUGUGAUCUAGAGUGAGGAAGAGGGUCGUGGAAUUCCCAGUGUAGAGGUGAAAUUCGUAGAUAUUGGGAAGAACACCGGUGGCGAAGGCGGCGACCUGGUCCUUGACUGACGCUGAGGCGCGAAAGCGUGGGGAGCAAACAGG